GAGAUACUCUUGGGCAACAAUAUCCCCUGCUGUGGGCAGAUGACAAAAGGGACCUCCUGACAGGAAGGCAUUAGAAGGUGUGAGUUGUGUGCGCACACACAUGAAGAGUGCAAGCAUGUGUACAUGGGCUGGUAGACAAUCUCAUAUCAUCCUCAGCAGCAUCAUUCACCCCAUUGGAAACAGUUUCUCCUGGACCUGGAGCCUGCUCCACUCAGAUUAGACUGGUUACCAAUGAACCCUAGAGGCUGGCCGAUCUCUGCCUCCCCAUUGCUGGGGUUUCAAGCACACAUCACCCACCCCUAUCCAUAGCAGCAUUUUUUACAUGUAUUCUAGGGCCAUGCAACUCAUGUCCUCAUGCUUGUAAGGUGCACUUUCAGCAGAGAUGAGCAACCAUGAGCUUGGCAGUAUCCAUUAGAAGACUGGCUUCCCACUUCCAGUUACUCUACGUGAGCUUAUAACUGAGAUAAAGCUAAUCCUCCCAAGGCCUGUUAGUGAAAAAUCAACCCGGCAAGAAGCACAGCCUGGGAGUGCUGAACUCUUCCUACUAUGCGAGGUUCGAGAAAUGCUGCACAAGGAACAUUUGGACGAUGGCGGCUCUGGGAGGCAAUGGACCUUGACGCUCUUUCAAGAUAAGGGAGGCAGCUAAUUCAGCAAGAGUCUGUCUCCCAAAGAGCUGGAUGUGAUCUAUCUCUGCAGCCUCGCUGGAUGUCUCCAAGCACGAAAAACCUUAUCCAAUACAAGCUUCAAAGUCUGCAUGGUUGUUUUCUGGUUCCCAGCCUUCACUGACACCGCCUGCCUUGACUGAAGCCCACGGGCAAGCCUCAAGCUUUUGGAA